rnacentral:rRNA from 1 species
UACGGAGGGGGCAAGCGUUGUUCGGAAUUACUGGGCGUAAAGGGCUCGUAGGCGGUUUGUCGCGUCGGGAGUGAAAACCAGGUGCUUAACACCUGGCUUGCUUUCGAUACGGGCAGACUAGAGGUAUUCAGGGGAGAACGGAAUUCCUGGUGUAGCGGUGAAAUGACGCAGAUAUCAGGAGGAACACCGGUGGCGAAGGCGGUUCUCUGGGCAUUACCUGACGCUGAGGAGCGAAAGUGUGGGGAGCGAACAGG